rnacentral:misc_RNA from 1 species
CUGAGUCCUUAGGAAGUUCAUUGAUAUUAAGAGGAUCACAGUUGAUGGAACGAGUAUCCUGCUCAACACGAUUCAUUUUUGCACAAGCAUCAUGAGCAGGCAAUUCAUCCACAGCAUCCUCUCCUGGAACAAGAGCUGUCUCACCAUCGUCCCACUCCUCCUCUAUAAAAGGUGCAUAACGAUUUCCAUUUGGUGGUCCUAU